AGUCGAACGAGAGGACAUGGGAAGCUUGCUUCCUAUGAAAUCGAGUGGCAAACGGGUGAGUAACGCGUAAACAACCUGCCCUUCGGAUGGGGAUAACAGCCGGAAACGGCUGCUAAUACCGAAUACGAUCUUUUCGUCGCAUGACGGAAAGAAGAAAGGAUGGCCUCUAUACAAAGCUAUCGCCGAAGGAGGGGUUUGCGUCUGAUUAGCUGGUUGGAGGGGUAACGGCCCAACAAGGCGAUGAUCAGUAGCCGGUCUGAGAGGAUGAACGGCCACAUUGGGACUGAGACACGGCCCAGACUCCUACGGGAGGCAGCAGUGGGGAAUCUUCCGCAAUGGACGAAAGUCUGACGGAGCAACGCCGCGUGAGUGAAGAAGGUCUUCGGAUUGUAAAGCUCUGUUAUACGGGACGAAAAAGACGGAUGCCAACAGUAUCCGUCCGUGACGGUACCGUAAGAGAAAGCCACGGCUAACUACGUGCCAGCAGCCGCGGUAAUACGUAGGUGGCAAGCGUUGUCCGGAAUUAUUGGGCGUAAAGGGCGCGCAGGCGGUUCGGUAAGUCUGUCUUAAAAGUGCGGGGCUUAACCCCGUGAGGGGACGGAAACUGUCGAACUUGAGUGUCGGAGAGGAAAGCGGAAUUCCUAGUGUAGCGGUGAAAUGCGUAGAUAUUAGGAGGAACACCGGUGGCGAAAGCGGCUUUCUGGACGACAACUGACGCUGAGGCGCGAAAGCGUGGGGAGCNAACAGGNNNNNNUACCCUGGUAGUCCACGCCGUAAACGAUGGAUA
rnacentral:rRNA from 1 species